CAAUAGCGUAUAUUAAAGUUGUUGCGGUUAAAAAGCUCGUAGUUGGAUUUCUGCCGAGGACGACCGGUCCGCCCUCUGGGUGAGUAUCUGGCUCGGCCUGGGCAUCUUCUUGGAGAACGUAGCUGCACUUGACUGUGUGGUGCGGUAUCCAGGACUUUUACUUUGAGGAAAUUAGAGUGUUUCAAGCAGGCUUACGCCUUGAAUACAUUAGCAUGGAAUAAUAAGAUAGGACCUCGGUUCUAUUUUGUUGGUUUCUAGAGCUGAGGUAAUGAUUAAUAGGGAUAGUUGGGGGCAUUCGUAUUUAACUGUCAGAGGUGAAAUUCUUGGACUUGUUAAAGACGGACUACUGCGAAAGCAUUUGCCAAGGAUGUUUUCAUUGA
rnacentral:rRNA from 1 species